GACAGAGGCCUCAAGCGUUUAGCGGAAUCACUGGGCUUAAGCGUGUGUAGGCGGAUCGUUAAGUGUCUUGUGAAAUCCCACGGCUCACCCGUGGAACGGCUGGGCAUACUGGCGAUCGUUGGGCCAACUAGGGGCAACUGGAACAAGCGGUGGAGCGGUGAAAUGCGUAGAUAUCGCGUUGGAACGCCGAAGGUGAAAACAGGUUGCUGGGGUUGUGCCGACGCUGAGACACGAAAGCCCAGGGGAGGCAAACGGG
rnacentral:rRNA from 1 species